GGAUGAACGCUGGCGGCGUGCCUAAUACAUGCAAGUCGAGCGAACAGAUGAGGAGCUUGCUCCUCUGACGUUCGCGGCGGACGGGUGAGUAACACGUGGAUAACCUACCUAUAAGACUGGGAUAACUUCGGGAAACCGGAGCUAAUACCGGAUAAUAUAUUGAACCGCAUGGUUCAAUAGUGAAAGACGGUUUUGCUGUCACUUAUAGAUGGAUCCGCGCCGCAUUAGCUAGUUGGUAAGGUAACGGCUUACCAAGGCAACGAUGCGUAGCCGACCUGAGAGGGUGAUCGGCCACACUGGAACUGUGACACGGUCCAGACUCCUACGGGAGGCAGCAGUAGGGAAUCUUCCGCAAUGGGCGAAAGCCUGACGGAGCAACGCCGCGUGAGUGAUGAAGGUCUUCGGAUCGUAAAACUCUGUUAUUAGGGAAGAACAAAUGUGUAAGUAACUAUGCACGUCUUGACGGUACCUAAUCAGAAAGCCACGGCUAACUACGUG
rnacentral:rRNA from 1 species